rnacentral:rRNA from 1 species
AAACCGGAGCUAAUACCGGAUAAUAUAUUGAACCGCAUGGUUCAAUAGUGAAAGACGGUUUUGCUGUCACUUAUAGAUGGAUCCGCGCCGCAUUAGCUAGUUGGUAAGGUAACGGCUUACCAAGGCACGAUGCGUAGCCGACCUGAGAGGGUGAUCGGCCACACUGGAACUGAGACACGGUCCAG